rnacentral:rRNA from 1 species
GAUGAACGCUAGCGGCAGGCCUAACACAUGCAAGUCGAGGGGUAGAGUUAGCUUGCUAACUUGAGACCGGCGCACGGGUGCGUAACGCGUAUGCAAUCUGCCUUGUACUGAGGGAUAGCCCAGAGAAAUUUGGAUUAAUACCUCAUAGCAUUAUGAAAGCGCAUGGUUUUAUAAUUAAAGUUCCAACGGUACAAGAUGAGCAUGCGUCCCAUUAGUUAGUUGGUAAGGUAACGGCUUACCAAGACAGUGAUGGGAAGGGGUCCUGAGAGGGAGAUCCCCCACACAGGUACUGAGACACGGACCAGACUCCUACGGGAGGCAGCAGUGAGGAAUAUUGGUCAAUGGGCGCAAGCCUGAACCAGCCAUGCCGCGUGCAGGAUGACGGUCCUAUGGAUUGUAAACUGCUUUUGUACGGGAAGAAACACUCCUACGUGUAGGAACUUGACGGUACCGUAAGAAUAAGGAUCGGCUAACUCCGUGCCAGCAGCCGCCGUAACAC